rnacentral:rRNA from 1 species
ACGGGGCGCAGCAGGCGCGAAAACUCUACAAUGCAGGCYACUGCGAUUGGGGAACAUCGAGUGAUACUCAUAUUGGGUGUCUGACCGGCCGUCUAAAAAACGGUGGUUAGCAAGGGCCGGUCAAGACCGGUGCCAGGCGCCGCGAAAUACCGGCGGCUCGNGUGGUGGC